GAUGAACGCUGGCGGCGUGCCUAAUACAUGCAAGUAGAACGCUGAAGCUUGGUGCUUGCACCGAGCGGAUGAGUUGCGAACGGGUGAGUAACGCGUAGGUAACCUGCCUCUUAGCGGGGGAUAACUAUUGGAAACGAUAGCUAAUACCGCAUAAAAGUCGACAUCGCAUGAUGUUGACUUGAAAGGUGCAAUUGCAUCACUAAGAGAUGGACCUGCGUUGUAUUAGCUAGUUGGUGAGGUAACGGCUCACCAAGGCGACGAUACAUAGCCGACCUGAGAGGGUGAUCGGCCACACUGGGACUGAGACACGGCCCAGACUCCUACGGGAGGCAGCAGUAGGGAAUCUUCGGCAAUGGGGGCAACCCUGACCGAGCAACGCCGCGUGAGUGAAGAAGGUUUUCGGAUCGUAAAGCUCUGUUGUAAGAGAAGAACGAGUGUGAGAGUGGAAAGUUCACACUGUGACGGUAACUUACCAGAAAGGGACGGCUAACUACGUGCCAGCAGCCGCGGUAAUACGUAGGUCCCGAGCGUUAUCCUGAUUUAUUGGGCGUAAAGCGAGCGCAGGCGGUUAGAUAAGUCUGAAGUUAAAGGCUGUGGCUUAACCAUAGUACGCUUUGGGAAACUGUUUAACUUGAGUGCAAAGGGGAGAGUGGGAAUUCCAUGUGUAGCGGUGAAAUGCUUGAUUUGGAGGAACUCCGGUUGGCGAAAGCGGCUCUGUUGUCUGGAACUGAUGCUUAGGCUCGAAAGCGUGUGUGCAAAUUGAGUAUAUUCCCUUGUAGUCAUGUGGGUAAUUCCAUGUGUAUGUCAAGCUAUCGUUCCGGCGACCCCGGGGUGGAAAAAAAAAAAAAAAUUUUUUUGUCUUUGUGAGGUUGUUUGCGGUUUGUGUGCUAUGCUGUGCUG
rnacentral:rRNA from 1 species